UGAUUUGUGCCAAAUAUCAAUGUGUCAGACUGGCAGCUGCCAGCUUUGGCUAGUUCUUUCUCUCUCCCUCCUGUUUCCUUCUCUCCCUCUCUAGAUACCUUCAGGGAUAAUUGCAGUGGCAGGUGUUCCUCGUUCAGUCAUCAGGAGCAGGUGGAAGCUCGUCCAAUCAAGCCUCCCUCCCUCACAAUACAACCAGACACCACACACCUGUUUGGAUUCACCUGCUCCACUUUGUUCCACCUGGACUCUCUGCCACCGCAGCCGCUUCCCAAGGAUAACUCACCUGAGUUGUUUCCCUCCUGGCCAUCCACCAUACCGACCUGCUGCUGCCUUUCCCUGGAAUCCCAACCUGCAACGCCAGAACCCAGUCCGAGCAUUCUCCAGUUAGAGUUCUAGUUUGUGGUCCUUAGUUUAAGCCUACUUCUGUGCUAGAGCUUCACUGAAGCCUUUCUUAGUUAUUAGGUUUGUCAGAGUUAGUUGUGCUUCAGCCGUAGUAUGCUUCGCUUUUGGUUCCUUAGUUGUUUCUAGAAUUAUCCAGUCAUUAGAGUGCUUAGCCUUGUUUUCUAUUUUCUAUUUCCAAUUGUAGUUUUCCAGUGAAAUAUUGUAGUCUUUGUGAAACUUGCUGUAAUAAACCUUCUAAAAAUGCA